rnacentral:rRNA from 1 species
AUUAACCUUCAUAGUAUUAUUGGAUGGCAUCAUUGAUAAUUAAAACUGAGGUGGUAUAGGAUGGGCAUGCGUCUGAUUAGUUAGUUGGCGGGUAAUGGCCCACCAAGACGAUGAUCAGUAGGGGUUCUGAGAGGAAGAUCCCCCCACACUGGCACUGAGAUACGGGCCAGACUCCUACGGGAGGCAGCAGUAGGGAAUAUUGGUCAAUGGAUGCAAGUCUGAACCAGCCAUGCCGCGUGCAGGAAGAAGGCCUUCUGGGUUGUAAACUGCUUUUGCCAGGGGAUAAAAUUUCCAUGCGUGGAAAACUGAAGGUACCUGGUGAAUAAGCCACGGCUAACUACGUG